UACGUAGGGUGCAAGCGUUGUCCGGAAUUAUUGGGCGUAAAGAGCUCGUAGGCGGUUUGUUGCGUCGGCUGUGAAAUCCCGAGGCUCAACCUCGGGUCUGCAGUCGAUACGAGCAAACUAGAGUGUUGCAGGGGAGACUGGAAUUCCUGGUGUAGCGGUGGAAUGCGCAGAUAUCAGGAGGAACACCGAUGGCGAAGGCA
rnacentral:rRNA from 1 species